rnacentral:rRNA from 1 species
UACGUAGGGGGCUAGCGUUGUCCGGAAUCAUUGGGCGUAAAGAGCGCGUAGGCGGCCAGAUAAGUCCGGUGUGAAAGUCACAGGCUCAACCUGUGAAUGCCGCUGGAAACUGUCUGGCUAGAGUCCGGAAGGGGCGAGUGGAAUUCCUGGUGUAGCGGUGAAAUGCGCAGAUAUCAGGAGGAACACCAAUGGCGAAGGCAGCUCGCUGGGACGGUACUGACGCUGAGGCGCGAAAGCGUGGGGAGCAAGCAGG